ACCUUCUUAUAUACAAGGAAAGGAACAAUCCUCCAGUAUGCUUGUCAUAACACCCAAGGCUUUGAUCCGGAUCAAGCAGCACUCAAGACCAUUAGGCUCAGACAGGCUGAAGACAGUGCCAAUAUCAGUAGGCAGGCACGUACCACCAUUGCAGCAGCGACAGAAAUAGAUUGGUGCCCUUUGAG